UUUCCUACGGGGGGCAGCAGUGGGGAAUAUUGCACAAUGGGGGAAACCCUGAUGCAGCAACGCCGCGUGAGUGAAGAAGUCAUUCGUGAUGUAAAGCUCUAUCAGCAGGGAAGAAAAUGACGGUACCUGAGUAAGAAGCCCCGGCUAACUACGUGCCAGCAGCCGCGGUAAUACGUAGGGGGCAAGCGUUAUCCGGAUUUACUGGGUGUAAAGGGGGCGCAGACGGCAAUGCAAGCCAGGAGUGAAAGCCCGGGGCCCAACCCCGGGACUGCUCUUGGAACUGCAUGGCUGGAGUA
rnacentral:rRNA from 1 species